UACACACGGAUAACAUACCGAAAGGUAUGCUAAUACGGGAUAAUAUAUUUGAGAGGCAUCUCUUAAAUAUCAAAGGUGAGCCAGUACAGGAUGGACCCGCGUCUGAUUAGCUAGUUGGUAAGGUAACGGCUUACCAAGGCGACGAUCAGUAGCCGACCUGAGAGGGUGAUCGGCCACAUUGGAACUGAGACACGGUCCAAACUCCUACGGGAGGCAGCAGUGGGGAAUAUUGCACAAUGGGCGAAAGCCUGAUGCAGCAACGCCGCGUGAGUGAUGAAGGCCUUCGGGUCGUAAAACUCUGUCCUCAAGGAAGAUAAUGACGGUACUUGAGGAGGAAGCCCCGGCUAACUACGUGCCAGCAGCCGCGGUAAUACGUAGGGGGCUAGCGUUAUCCGGAUUUACUGGGCGUAAAGGGUGCGUAGGCGGUCUUUCAAGUCAGGAGUGAAAGGCUACGGCUCAACCGUAGUAAGCUCUUGAAACUGGGAGACUUGAGUGCAGGAGAGGAGAGUGGAAUUCCUGGUGUAGCGGUGAAAUGCGUAGAUAUUAGGAGGAACACCAGUUGCGAAGGCGGCUCUCUGGACUGUAACUGACGCUGAGGCACGAAAGCGUGGGGAGCAAACAGGAUUAGAUACCCUGGUAGUCCACGCUGUAAACGAUGAAUACUAGGUGUCGGGGGUUACCCCCCUCGGUGCCGCAG
rnacentral:rRNA from 1 species